AUGGGAGCCAGACAGCAGAAAGUUGGUUUUGUCUUGUCCCUAAAUGGAAGAGUCCAACACACGUUUUCUGGAUUCAAGACUAUACCUCAUCUCCUUUCUCUGAAUGGAUUACUAAAGCACAAAAACAACAUUCACGAUGGUAACAUCAAUUUGAUGAUCAACAAUGCACUGUAUGGAUUCCAUCUCAGGAGCAGAAAUGUGUUUGGGAACAUCACCAUACGCAAUAUCACUUUCACUAUGUUUCAGAAUGGCAGUCAGGCAAUCCCAGUGGAAGCAAAACUGACAGGACACCUGGAGCUGAGUAAAGAGAUGAAAAGAGGUCUAGUUAGCUUCCACAUGGAUGAGAAGGCCCUUUUUGUAGAUUUUUCCAAAGUCAUGAGUCAUGGACACAAUAGAGUCUCUGGGACUUUCACACAUAAUAUCAGCUCUUUAAACAAUGCAGGAUUGCCCUCAGAUGGCGUUCUCACCAUGAUAUAUGAACACGGAACAGGAAAUCACACCAUUACUGUAGUCCUGCAGAGCGGCAGUGAAAGAAUUUCCACUGUAUUUGGAGGUCACAGGCUGUCCACAGAACCUCCUAAAUCCCAUCUGUCUGUGAGCACAACGUCACAAAGAUAA
rnacentral:lncRNA from 1 species